UCAUUUGGUGCAUUCAAUUGCUUAAUGCCUAUUUAUAGUGUAAUAUAUAGAACUUAGUAAUCUAAUAAUAAAAAAAAUUAAAAUCAUCUAUUACCAUGCCAAACUUAUAGUAAAUACAAUCAACCUACAUACAUGCUCCUAACCAAUCACUUGUAUUUCUAUAAGCUCAAACACACAAUUGAAAAUAAAAAAAUAAAUUUCCUAUGUUAGCCCCCCACACUUUAGAUAACACAUUGUCCUCAAUGUAUAGCCCGAAAAAGAUAAAGAAAAAGUUACCCGAUUGAUCGUGCUAGUUCCAUACUUAUAUUGGUGGGUGCUCAUUUCCAUUUUUCAUUUGGAAGCUUGAAAUUAUUGUGCUUCUUUCAUGUGGAGUUCCUAAAAAAAAAACCUAAAACAGAAAAAACGAAGCAAAUAAUAAUCUACUGCUAAUCCUACUUGUAAGAAUAAUAAUUAAAAAGUAUCCCAAAUACAGUGUUU
rnacentral:lncRNA from 1 species